AACGUACGCUGGCGGCACGCCUAACACAUGCAAGUCGAACGAAGUAGCAAUACUUAGUGGCAGACGGGUGAGUAACAUGUAGGUAUCUGCCCUUUGGCCUGGAAUAACACGAGGAAACUUGUGCUAAUACCGGAUAAGUCUUUACGGAGAAAGCUUUAUGCACCAUUGGAUGAGCCUGCAUUUGAUUAGUUUGUUGGUGGGGUAAUGGCCUACCAAGACUGUGAUCAAUAGCUGAUUUGAGAGGAUGAUCAGCCACAUUGGGACUGAGACACGGCCCAAACUCCUACGGGAGGCAGCAGUGGGGAAUCUUGCACAAUGGAGGAAACUCUGAUGCAGCGAUGCCGCGUGAGUGAAGAAGGCCCUUGGGUUGUAAAGCUCUUUCGUCGGGGAAGAAAAUGACUGUACCCGAAUAAGAAGGUCCGGCUAACUUCGUGCCAGCAGCCGCGGUAAUACGAAGGGACCUAGCGUAGUUCGGAAUUACUGGGCUUAAAGAGUUCGUAGGUGGUUGAAAAAGUUGGUGGUGAAAUCCCAGAGCUUAACUCUGGAACUGCCAUCAAAACUUUUCAGCUAGAGUAUGAUAGAGGAAAGCAGAAUUUCUAGUGUAGAGGUGAAAUUCGUAGAUAUUAGAAAGAAUACCAAUUGCGAAGGCAGCUUUCUGGAUCAUUACUGACACUGAGGAACGAAAGCAUGGGUAGCGAAGAGGAUUAGAUACCCUCGUAGUCCAUGCCGUAAACGAUGUGUGUUAGACGUUGGAAAUUUAUUUUCAGUGUCGCAGCGAAAGCGAUAAACACACCGCCUGGGGAGUACGACCGCCAGGUUA
rnacentral:rRNA from 1 species